GUAGCCAGAGAACAGGCCCUGGAAAAGAAGUGGGAGGGCUGUUGCUCAAGAACUGUGUGUCCUGAGUGAAGGAAGGAGAAGGAGAAGGAGGAGAAGGAGAAAAAGGAGGAGAAAAGAGAAGGAGGAGGAGAUAGAAGAGUUGCUAUAGGGGAAUCUUGAACUCCACUGAGUGACAGUGGAUGAAUACAACUCAAGGACAACCAAUGGGGAACAGAACAGAACAUGCAGAAGGAGAGCUAGAAUGAACGACACAGUGAAGGUGAACAGGGAAAGGCAGUACAUGCAGAAUAUCAGGACAGAAAGGAACAUGAAACACAGAUGUAAUUCUUCAAAUGCCUUCAAGAAAGGCAAAUCCAGUAAUGUGUGCCAUUCUCUUAAGUUCCAGGAGAUUGGGCAAAAGGUCGUGACCUCUAAUACUGCAGGACCUCAAGCUGAUUGAUGCAACAUACACUGGCUGCAUUAUCUGAAUUGUUGCAACAAACCAACUAUGGUGGCUGUGCUUCGGCGACAAAAGUUUGUCACAAAAAGUAGUUCUACAGAAUGCCUGCAUUCUGGCCGAUCAGAACCUUGAUCGCAUGAAUCCAAUUUAGUGUUAAGAAACAUUUUUAUAAUGGCCUGUUCUGCCCUGGAUGGCUCAAGAAAUAGCAAAGAGAUGAAAAACAGCUGCUCGCUGCCUAUUUGCUCCUUUCAGUAACAGCACCAUUCCAGUCUUCCUCCUAAGAGAAAGGAAGAGCUCUCCCCAAAUUGUAUACACAACCCCAAGUCCUGCCAUACAGGGAGUGCAAGAGGUGAUGAUACUGGGAAGCCAGUCGCACCCUUUGAACAGUGACAAAAUACAUGAACACGAAGAGUGAAGCAAGAUGGCUGCAGAACAAGCUGUAGAUGGUAGAAAAAUAUUUUCAGAGAAGAAUGCAGCACAGUAAAAUAACAACAGUGGUAAAGGUAUUAAAGUUCUGUGCCAUUACUAGUCUGGCUGGAAAUACUAUUAAUAUACACAUACACUUAAAAUAAAUAUAAAGCAACACUAAAGCACAUUUAUUUUGCAGCGCUUUUUGUAUACAAGCAGCUAACUUAAUAAUAGUAAAUAAUAACUUAGCCGAGAAAAGGAUAAAAAUCAGACAGAUCUGAACUCCUGUUAUAAGUUAUGUUUCUCUAACGCUCCACAUUUCUAUUUCUUAUCCCAAGAAACUGAAAAUAAUUGUGCCCUUUUCACAUUUAGACAUGGCUCCUCUUCUUUAGAUUAAAGCUGAAUCUAAAUAUGGCAACUGCAACCCACUAAGCAAGUGGGCUGUGUUGGUCUCAGCAAAGUUGUAUAUAUUAAUCUGCUUAUGUUUCCAGCCUGCAACCUAGAACUUAAUUUUAAAGAACUGUGAGUCACUUCCAGCUCUAAAAUAAGAGUAUACUGCCCAAGCCACUAACAAAUAGUAUCUUCCACAUCCACAGAUCCAGUAAAACACAAAAGUGGUUACAUUUUCACAGAAGUACCACAAAUAUUUUUUUAAAGUGUUUUUGGGAGAGAGUUUUUGAACAAUCUUGAUUUGCUAUAAUAAAUACAU